CGAUCGGUAGACGCUACGGACUUGAAAAUCCGUUGGCUUUAUUGACCAUGAGGGUUCAAGUCCCUCUACCCCCA
rnacentral:tRNA from 1 species